rnacentral:rRNA from 1 species
GACGAACGCUGGCGGCGUGCUUAACACAUGCAAGUCGAACGGACGAGUGAGAUAAGUUACUUAACUCACAAGUUAGUGGCGGACGGGUGAGUAACACGUGGAUAAUCUACCUGCAACACCGGGAUAACGCUGUGAAAACGGUGCUAAUACCGGAUACGUCCCUUGUGCGCAUGUAUGAGGGAAGAAAGCUCAGGCGGUUGCAGAUGAGUCCGCGGCUGAUUAGCUAGUUGGUGAGGUAAAGGCUCACCAAGGCGAUGAUCAGUAGCCGGCCUGAGAGGGUGAACGGCCACACUGGGACUGAGACACGGCCCAGACUCCUACGGGAGGCAGCAGUGGGGAAUCUUCCGCAAUGGGCGCAAGCCUGACGGAGCAACGCCGCGUGGGUGAAGAAGGCCUUCGGGUUGUAAAGCCCUGUCUUAUGGGAAGAAGUCAGUGACGGUACCAUAGGAGGAAGCCACGGCUAACUACGUG